GUGUGUGCGCAUGUGCCUGCGUGUACACAUUCUGGUGUGGUAGAGAAAGAGCUCAAGGUGGCAUCAGGUACUCUCGGGCUGUCUGGAGUCUGCACAGGUGUCUCUGCCUCGGCCUUGGCAUGUACAGUCGGUUUGAAGCUCUGCUGCUCGCCACGGCCCAGGGGAGCUAUGCCUGUCACAUUGGAGUGUGCACAGCUGUAGCAGUAGCCUGGCCAGUGCCUGGCAGGAGAGGCGACCCUUGCUCUGGAGUCCUCAGCUGCUGGCAAGAGGCAGUGAGCGUAUCCAUCUUUCCAUCUAUCCAUCCAUCCAUCCAUCCAUCCAUCCAUCCAUCCUCAUGAUUCUCUAGCCUGACCUUCUGUGGGUCAGAUCUCCAGACUGUGGGGAUGCGGGAGAAGAUGAAUAGAAAAGGUGUGUUUUUCGCACUCAGAGGAUGAAAGAGUGCCCAGGCCGGAAGGAGUGCAAAAGUCACCCAGUCCCCACACCACUGGGUGUUGCAUCCUAGGACGGUUUCUGUAGUAUUAGGUAUCACUGUCCACACACCUUGUGGGGCAGUUGGUCCUUGUGGCCUCCCCAUGAUCACUGUCAUCCAGUUCGGCCCUGUCUUCCCCGACCUCUUCUCUCUCUCUCUCUCUUUCUUUCUUUCCCUCUCUCUCUCUCUCAGCUCCCUGGAGUUCCAUUCUUGGCCUCUUUGCACCUGCGCACAGUUCCUGGUGGUGCUGCACCCUCACAAGGGCUCCACGCCUAUUUCUAGCUCCUGCCUUCUCUGCAGAGUUCCAGGCCUGUGUUUGGCUCUAUCUACUUGGAAGACUCACAGGUUCUUCAAAACCAACCAACGUGAAGCCAGUUUGUCCUGACUUUUACCCCAAACCUGAUGACUGCUUCAUCCCCUGUCUUGAGAAGGCUCCACUGCCCACCCAUUGUCUAAAGCAGAUACCCAGAAGUCCUUCUUGAUGACUGCCCAUCACCUGCCCGGGGUCCUAUCCAGCAGUGCAUCCUAGUGCCCCUCCCACUGUACCCCGGCUGUAGUUCAGGAUUUGCUCAGCUCUGGUCUUGCUGCUCCGAAGCCCCCACUGGCCACUCAGCCCUGCCAUGAGGCCCAUCAUGCAGCUCCCCUUCCCUCUAACCUGCUUCAAGUCCAUUCCCCAAACUGCCACAAGGCCCCUUCUCCUUGAGCCAAUAGAACUCAUUCUCUCCCCGGGUGAACACGCACCAGGGCUCUGCAUGCCUUCUUACAACAAACUGUGUGGUGGGCGCACCAGCCUUCCCCAUCUGACUCUGUGUGCUGCCCACCUGGUGGUUGUGCUGGAGGUUUUGAAGAGUCAGACUUUGGCCCCAGGUCUCCUGCCUGACAGCUGCGUAAACCUAGAGCCUUGUCUCACAGAGCCCCUCUUCCCACAGCAUUAAAGUGGAGAUGACAGAGUCCCUCCUGGAGAGCCAGUCUAGCCGUUUAGUGAGUCAGCAGCACAGCUCCUCCAGCACGCAGAGAACAGCGGUCCAUGGAGGGAGGGCGUGAGCCUGGGGUUUUACUGAGGAAGGAUAGUGGGUUUUUCAGUCCCUGAAGCUGCUGCUCUGCCCACUCAGGAAGGUGAGGAAGGCAGACGACAGCGUACAUCUAGCCUCUGCUCUAGGAAGAGGAGGAAGACCGAAGGGGGAGAGAGAAAAACAGAGGCAGAGAGGAGGAAAGAGCAGUGAAGGCUGUGACCAGAUUCUCCUGAGGGACAUGAACCACCUGACUGGGUUCUCUAACGUGGGCACCUGCCGCUGGCUUGUGUGUUUGGACUUCUGCUUCCGGUGGCGUCUUCUCUGGCUGGCUGGUAUCUUCCGAAUGCUGACUUCUGUGGACUGAGAGGUCUUGCACCCCAGUUUCCCCUUCCCAAGGAAGUGACAAGGGAGAACUGGGCUUUGCCUCUGUCUCUGAGGGCUCCGAACACCCAGGCCACCCUUAGCCAUCCCUGUUGGAGCCACUGCUGCCAGGAAGAACCCCAAGCCAAUUCUUGCUGCCAUUCUGUCUCCCUCCCCAGGAGUGCUGGCCACAAUGUCUCUACCCGUUUGGUAGCCCAGUCUCCCUUAUCAAUGUCCGUCUACACUAGCUGGUUUGAGGGCUUCUUCUGGAUGUUCUGCCUGGGGGCGCAGCAGGCAGAAGGGAGGGCAGCUGGUGUCCAGAGCCCCCCUAGGCAGGCCAGCCUGCUGUGCCAGCACGGGUCCCCUCCAGGGCCUGUGCCCUUCUGGGCAGCCUCAUUGCUCAAUGGCCACCCACCUCCCCAAGGCCAAGAAAGCAACUGCCCUUCCACGGCCUGGGGUUCACUGAGUGAGGGCGUGAGCCUGGCACCCCCAUCCAGUCUUCUUUUCAGUAUGUCCAAAAAAUUAAGUCAUCUCAUCAUUGAUAUGCAAUGUACAUUGGUGGGGGCAUCUUUUAAAACUGAAAUGAGAGUAAUAUGAUAAGGAAAGACAGACACAGGCCCAGCCCCUGCUCCCAUUAGCAACUCCCAUGAAUGCAGCACAGCUGCAGGAGCUGGUCCGGCUGCUGCAUCCUCUCCCCGCUGCAGCUGAGGGCGUUCUGAGUGAGAAAUUAAUUCCUCGUCGGAAUUGUGUCUGAAUUUAGCAGAUAAUAAUUUUAGAGCUUUAAACUGACAUUUUAAGAAUGACCACUGUAAUUCCUGCAAGCAACAAUGGAUUCCAUAAAUGAUGGAGAUUCUAAGAACAGGAUUGAUUUCCACAGGCCAGGGUUGUUGAUGCCCUUUGGAAUGGAGAGCUGUGAAGGGGAAUGCCUAGGCCUCACAGAGGAGGCUCGUGACCCGGACAGGUGUGGGACUAGGGGCCAUGUCUGUAGCUCCCCUGCUACGGAGCAGAAUCUGCCUCUCCAUAAGCGUAAGCUCUGGGGACUGACAUCCACGCUGGGCCUGGCUCCUGCCUCCCGCCUCCUGCCCAGCCCCUGCCAGCCGCACAUGGUGGAGACCGGCUGCCCAAAGCUCUUGUUCUCAGAUGUGGGCAGAAUGGGAAUCUGCCAUGUGCCCAUGGAUUAAAAAAAAGAAACCCAGGCUGCUUUUCUGUCUGUUAGAAGGAGCCUGCACUUCAAGAUAGUGGGGAUGUAUAUUUUAAAAAAUUUCACGCUCAUGGGCCAAAGAUUUUCCCGGGGCUGUGUGCUGAUUUGCAGCCUAUCAUGUGUGGCUUUGGGACACUGGGGAAGGUGUGGAGCAGUUUAAGUGACAAACGGGUUGGAAAAGCAAAGGACACCAGGUGAGGAUGAUGGAAUUUACAUCCUGUUGCUUCCCUGAUAGUUCCUGCCAAUAUGGGAUCCCACUACUAUCUUUCUGCCCUAAAAAUAUGUGUAUAUUGAGAUAGAAACUGUUGUAAUGGCUGCAUGCAUUCAGUAGAGGAAAGGAGAGAAGAAAGAAGGAACAGAUUUAGUCCUGCCCAGAAUCUGCACUUCCACGGAGGACGCCAGGAUAUCACGGGAGAGACUGCAGCUCUGAUCAAAUGGGGCGAGCUCUUGGCAGGAGCCAGCAUGUUCCUGUGUUCCAUUUGGGAGGACAGUUUACUUUUAUGAUGUACUUUGAAAUCAGGUGGACGUCUGUAACUCCUGGACCUUUCCCAGCCUUUCCAGCCACGGUCAUCUCUGUGGAGUCAGGGGCAGGGACUUUGGGAUCAGCUUCUGCCCUCGUGAAAACAGCAGAGCAGCCUGAGAGCCAGGAAGGACCUCACCUGAGUAUCAGGUCACCUCAUCAGGCUGAAUUGUGUGGAUCUAGGGAUUUUAAAGAGGUGAUUAAGGUAAAAUGAGGUCAUUAGGGUGGCCCUUGACCCAGUGUGACUGGUGUCCUCCUAAGAGGAGAUUAGGACACAGCCACACAGAGGGACGACCACCUGAGGAUCCCUGAGAAGAUGGCAUCUGGAAGGUGAGGAGAGAGGCCUCAGAAGGAAUCAACUCUGCUGAUACUCGAUGCCAACUUCCAGCCUCUGAAACUGCGAGCAGGGCUCCCUGUUGGCCAGAGCCAACCAGAAGGAGGAGAGCAAGAAGCCACGGACACUGUCUGCGUCCAUGCCACAACCUCACAGGCAUGGCCAGGGGGAGCGGUGGGUGGCCCAGCCUGCGAGAGAAGCCGACCCUGCUCAGCCCACCCCUGAGAUCACGCAGCCGGCACCGGCGCACUCUGGGGGGACUCUGGGCCCUGCUCUCACCUCGUGAGUCUGAACAAGUCACUUCUUCUCUCUAUGCUUUAAACGCUGCAUCUGUACGGCGGAGAUAAAACUGCAGCUCCUCCACGGGGCUUCCGUGAGGGUUAAUGAAGUAACACAUGCACGGCAGCUGACACGCAGCAAGGGCUCAGCCACCGUGAGCUUCUCAGCCUCCCCGGGGCUGCAGACCCAGCACCUGGGGCCUCACCUUCCCAGAGACUGGCCCAGGUGGUAAAGCGGCAGCGCGAACUUCCUAGGAGUGAGGGACAAGGGUGAACAAAGGGCAUGGGAGGGAACAAGGGCAUAUUUCCUACCCCUUAAAUUCAAGCAGCCCUUCGAGGUCCCAAGAGCACUUUCAGCUGAAUGCACAUGGAUGCCAUGAGGCCGCUGGAGACGGUGCGUUGUCUGAAUGGUGCGGAGAGAGCUCCCGAGGCUCACAAAGGCUGGGCGAUGUGCCCAAGGCCGCAUGGCUUGUUACCCGCGGUGCAGCCAUCAGUCCUGGAUCUGAUUCCAGAUUCUGAGUAUCUGCCGUGCACAUGUGUGUGUACGCGGCCUGAAGCAGGCAUAUCUGCCUAUGCUAAUGCAUGCACUUUACACACACAGAGCCUGGGUGCAUGUGUCUGUGCUCAGUCUCCCCACAGGUACGGCAGCCCCCCCGAGGGCAGGCAUUGUGCCUGAUGCACCUUUGUCUCCAGCAGCACGCAGUCAGGGCUCAGCCCACGUGUGGGCCAGUGCAGCGUUUUCUCCAGAGUCUGCUCCAGGAAGAGGAGGAAAUCUUCUCUCUGACUAUUGGGAACUUUACAGGAAGAGGAGGGACAAGUGUGCUCCUAUCUGCGUACUUUUUCUCCCUCCAUGCUGAGGUUUUUCUACCUCCACAUGAUUAAAAAACGGCAAAUAAAUUAGCAUAUGAAAAUAUGUAGCAAGGGUGAAAAUGGCCCUGCGGGAGGUCACAGCCAUAGUGACAGUGUUCCAGGCUUCCAGGUGUACCUGCUACUCCGGGCCGAGUGGAAAGAAGGCCUUCCCAGAAGGGCACCAUCUCAGUGUUGGCAAGGCCAAGGCUCCUACAUGACUUUCUUUCCAGAAUCGGUGUAACAGUCCCAUAAAGGAUGCUUCAGUUUUCCAGCAAUCUCCUCUCCUGGGUGUGGGCACUGCUGGCAAGCAAAUCAAUUGGUCCCAAAGCUCUGCCAUCCAAGACACAGAGCUGAGCUGACAUCCUCCAGAGAACCCCAGAGACUCACGCCUGGGCACCUGGGCCUGUUCAACGCGGAGCAACAGGCAGGUACUGGGCAAACCCCAGAGACUCACGCCUGGGCACCUGGGCCUGUUCAAUGCGGAGCAACAGGCAGGCACUGAGCGUGCUGUCAGCUGAGCAGUGAAAAGGGACGAGCUGCUAUGUCAAAAAUGACACGCCGGCUUUUGCUGGUCUUGCAAAAGAGCUCUGCAGUGAUGUGACUGCAGCUGACAUCCCGCAACAGCAGCGGCUGGUUUCUGUGCUGGAUUGAAAUUCAUCCAGCUCCCUGUGUUCACAGCGAUGACUUCCAAUGCUAAUUCUCAGCGAGCAGGGCAUGAAAUAUAUUCACAGGCGCUGCUUGGUGAGGGCCCUUUGGAGUUAUUUGAGGUACCUGUGAUGAAAACAUCUGUGCCACUUGCUUUUGUGCAUUUUUGUUCCCUUGGUUUCAAUUAUGCAAAGAAUCUUUGGGCAAGAGAAAGAGAGAGGGGGAGAGAGAGAGAGUUUGCUGAUGUAGUCUUUUUCCUUUUUGAUAAGAGUGAGUGCCUGGUCUGAUGCCUGAACAGGGGAAGCAUAAGAAGAGAGAGGCAGACUUUCAUCUUCCACAAAGACACAGGGACAUGCUCUGCCUCAUGCAAAUGAGCUGUUCUAAAAGCGUCCCUGUGUCCUGCUGAGCCGCCUGGGCUCCCUUAGCCCUUCUCUCCACAGGACAAAUAAAGGCCUGGAAGAGCCUCUUGUCUUCACUGAAGGUCUACCCAUUUGUUCUCUCCUGAAGAAUGUGGCCCAAGCAUGGGGUCUACAAGAGGUGACCAGAGAUUCAAGACUCGAGAAGGGCCAGGGUCCCCUCGAGGCAGAGAUGAGCUUGGAAUCCAGGACAGAGUUAUCCACAAAGAAGAAGUGGGAUCCCAGGGAGGGAAGGAGGAAUGAGGGGAGGAGUGAACGGCAAGCUGUGUGGCCAAGACAUCGCUCAGAAAUGUCCUUGAGCGCAGGCCCUUCCGAAAGGCAUAGAAGCCGGUAUCAAACACAACUGCCAACACGAUUUUUCAGAGCACAUUUUUUGGCAAUCGGACAGCAAAGAGCUGAGCUCUAAGGCGGAAGAAAGGGAGACUGGAAAGGAUCAGCAGACAGAGCUGCCCCUGUGCUUGCCCCUGAGGGACUUCCCGGACUCCGCUCCGGUCAUGUCCUCAGACUCGGGACAUGCGACGGAGUCUCUCCACCUUGCAUGUGGGUUUGCGCGUACGGGUGUGGGAGGCAAAAUUUCCAAGUGCAUGGUGGGAGGGGCUGUCCCUAUUGGGAAAAAGCAGGAGGCUGGCUCUGGAAAGAGCCUUCUUUGUCUCUGAGCCCAGCCUUGCCCGAGCCACCUGUGCUGUGAACUCUGGAGAAGGUAAAGAGCCAGCCCCGUGUGGGACCUGCAGGCGACGUCCCUGUCAGCUGUGGGGUGGGAAAGUCACUCUCCCUGCUCCCUGCACAUGUUCUGGGGAUUUUGCCCAUGUCAGCUGCUCUUUCUCAGCGGCCCUUUCUCCUGCCAGCCAGCGAUUCCAAGCCCCCAAUGCCCACACCCAACGAGGGCCCUGGAAGCACUGUGGGACAUGCGGGCCCUCCGAGGACAGUGAAGGCUGGUGGGGGUCACCCUUCUCUGAGAGAACCAGAAUCCUUUGCUUCCCACACAUAUUCCCCUAUUAUCUUCCUAAUGUGUUCCUUAUUCUGGAGAGGUAGAAUUAAAAAAUAAGAAGGGGAAAAAGAAAAGAGAAAUGUUUUGCCUUAGUUGGACUUUGUUUAAAUUGUCUCCUUCCAAGAUGCAGAGGAGGGUUCACCAUGAUCAUCAUCAUUAUUAGAGUCUGCUCUAGAGGGGAAGGGGAGGAUGGAGAGGAGCCAGCCAGGGCUGGAGCGUUCUCCUGACUGUGACCUUGGCACAGCCUGGCUGUGAAGACAAGGACCAGCCCACAAGUCUAGGCCUGAAGGAGGAAAAAAAGUUGCCUGGCAAGGACCGUACGUCUCAGAGUCUUCCCACAUAUUUUGCCAGAUAGUAAAACUGAGUCCAAAAAGGAAAGUGUCUUGCUCCCAAUCUCAAAGCCUGUUAAUAACAGGGCAGGAUUUUUAUAAAGGCUGCAACAAAAUCAGCCAAGAGAAUGGACCCUAAACUCUGAAGUGGAUUAUUUAUUAUUCACAAAACCGUAGGCUUAAAGGCAUGCAUGCAGAUAACCAAUUAAAGAGCCUUCGCUGGUGUUUUAUCAUCCUGUGCUCCCCAGGUGCUGGGGGCCCAGCCAGGAGGGGCUCAGGUCUGCAGAGGCCCUCUCUGACCCAGCCCCUGUUUCGUUCAGCAUUGAGGUCUCACACCACUGCCUCUGUCACAGACCUAUGUACAGAACCCCAGCUGGCUUUGAGAGGACUCCAGGUGUCUUUGCCGCGUCUACACCUGGUUGGUGUUAUCUAUGCAGAACACCAGGUAGGAAAUCUGGGUUUCCAUCUAAAGUGCUUAACGGUGAUUAUGUGAUCACGGUGCGUCUGAUUCAUUAUCUGAUUUUCAUCCCCACUCCAGCCGCAUGAGAUGAGCAUUUCUUUUCCUUUUCUUUUUGCUUUUUUCUUUUUUUGAGAUGUAGUCUCACUCUGUCACCCAGACUGGAGUGCAGUGGCGUGAUCUCAGCUCACUGCAACCUCUGCCUCCUGGGUUCAAACAAUUCUCCUGCCUCAGCUUCCUGAGUAGCUGGGAUUACAGGCACACGCCACCACGCCCAGAUAAUUUUUGCAUUUUUAGUAGAGACAAAGUCUCACCAUGUUGGCCAGGCUGGUCAUGAACUCCUGACCUCAAGUGAUCCGGCCUCCUCGGCCUCCCAAAGUGCUGGGAUUACAGGUGUGAGCCACUGCGCCUGGCCUGAGACCCGCAUUUCUAUGUUUGCUUUACAGAGCGGGAAGGUAGAGCUUAGGGAGGCUCUGGGAGUCUCCCCUGUGGCUUGGACUCUGGCUGUGAGAUUACACACCGGCCCAGGCCUCUCCCAGGAGCCACACUGCGCAGGUCACUGCAGGUUCAGUCAUUCUCAUGUCAAUUCAUUGCCAUUUCCUCGUUCUCAGUGUGUGAACUCCCCUUUACAUUGCAGAGUAGUGUUAUCAUGAACCAUUUCACUAACUGUGGACACGGUACUGUUUUUAUUUUUAAUACCAUAAACAGCAGUGUUGCGAACAUCCUGGUGAAUACAGUUUUCUUCUUGUUUUAGAUUAUUUAAUUAGGAAAAGUUCCCCAAAGUUCCUUGACAGCUAUUGCUUCCUGUAAGUAUCAUUUUAUUCCACGUUUACUUUUACCAUCAGCGUAAGGCAAUGUGUGUGUCGCUGCUCUCCCACUCACUAGUAACAACCUGGAUUAUUAAUCUUUUAAAAUUUGAUUGCCAAAGGAAAACGAAGCCUCUCCUUUCACCCUCAUCACUUGGAUCCGUGGUGCACCGGGACAGCACUCACAGCUCUGUGUGCCCUCUUUAUUUCCUCCCCUGGGAGUUAUUUGUUCCCAGCAGGAGGCCUCAGCAGCGAGCGGGGGCUGGAUGGAGACCUGCAUUCCAGGCCUGGUGUCCCAGGUGACGAGGCCUCCAGCCAGAGCAUCUGUCCUUCCUCACAGCCCAGAUGUCCUUGAACCCAAGGUCAAGUCCCUGAAUCUUCUGCCCAUCCUCAUUCCUCACCACUGGCCCCUGCAGGUGGUGCAGCGCCCACCUCCUUCCGUGCUCCUGUCCUGAAGCCUGCGUCCCUCCACACAGUCAAAGCUGGGACAUCUCCAGUGAAUCUAUCACUGGCAACACAACCAUUUCCUGACUCCUACGGCUUGGUCAAAUCCCUCCUUCCACCCCAGGCCUCUGGACUGGAAGGCUGUGGUCAUGCUGGUUCUUGCAGCCCUGACGGCUCCCCUCGGGCUCCUGGUGCCACGUUGUGCCUGUCCAAGCCACUCAGCUUCAGGAUGAAGAGGUGUUUGCCCUGCUGGCUCCCUGCAAGGUAAGUAAGCGUGUGUCAGGUGACAGCUUCCACACGCAGGCAACGUGACCUCACCCAUGGACGUGACAGUGCAUCCACAGCACAUGAGCGAACAUUUCCUUUCAGCCACAGGAGGGCGAUACCAUAGUCUUUUGAUCUCUCAAGAAAAAAAUACACACUGGAAAAAUGCAAGGUAUUAUGGUUACUUAUAUAAAGCUUCUUACCUGUGCACAUGGGCCUCAAUAACCAUAAGAAUCAUCAAACCUAAGGAAGAAACAUUCUCAAUUAAUUCUGGGUUGGAAGUGAAGAGACAGGAUUUGAUAUCAGAAAGGACGCCAUAAAAACUGUCAUGUGCAUAUCACUUAAAAACAGAUGCUGCCACGGGGCUUGAGCCACCAGCCCGGGGAAUGUAGCUCCCUUUUCCUGUCACCCACCUUGGAAGUCACAGAGAACGCGAGCAGCCAUUAGGUGCACGCCUGGCAGUGCCGGCUCAGGGGGGCUGCGGGAGAGGAGCCCAGGCCGGAGCUCAGGGUUCCUGGUCCGGGCUGCCCUCUGAAACUGUCCUUGAUCAUGUCAAGGUCCUGGGUAUUACAGGGUAUGCCCUCAGGUUCGUCACGUCAGGUUCAGGACCUCGCUUCCGAGAGCCAGUAUCAUAUCCACAAAACUGGAACUAGGGUGGAAGCUGUCCCUCUGUAACAGUUUCCCUCUUUGUAAAAUGGGAAUAAUGCCCCUUAAAGCCUUCAUUCUUACCUUGAAAAUGAAGGAGUUCUGUGACUGUAGGAUGCUAUUGGGGACAUCCUCCCCCUUCCUGCUUUUUACAGAGGAUGCCUCAUCCCCUGUCAUCUUCCUCCAGAGCACAGUGUGGAUGAUUUCGUGGGCUCGUCUUUGCCACAUCUAGGCUCUGGUGGAGAGUUCAGCCUGUGAUUCUGUCACUGUUGGGUGUGACCUGCAUAAGCAAAUCGGUCGCAGUGGUGUGGCCGUCCAGGCACCUCGCUCUCCCAGGUCUCUUCCAAAACCCAUCACCGCCCUCGCUGGACCGAUGUCUUUUCUCUACCCAAACCCACUCCUCCUCGUGCAUCGUCAAAGACUCUGUGCAAUUCUCAAACCAGAACGUCCACACAUCCUGGGUUCCUUUCCUGGGCAUCGUGGGCUAUUUAGCAGCAAGUCCUGUUACUCUGUCUCCUUCACAUACCCUCCUGCAGCCUCAGCUGCUUAGGACACCCUUCUCUCUGGCCUGGAGCACCACUACAGCCUCCUAGGAGGACUAUUCUGGUUUCACUCCCUCUAAUCCAUCACAGAGAGAUCUUCCUGGGGGAGAUGUUUUAAUUUUUUUGUUUUCAAAUUUGUUAUAUUUUUAUUAAUAAAUGAUAGCUACAUAUAUCUAUGGGGUACAAUGUGUUUCAGUAUAUGUAUAUAUACACAUUGUGGGAUGAACAAAUCAAGCUGAUUAGAGUACCUGUCACCUUAAAUGUUUGCCAUUUCUUUAUGGAAGAACAUAUUUAUAAUCCUCUCUUAGGGUAUGCUGGCCAAAGGGAACAAAGUUUCAGAUGGGUAGCAGGAAUCAGCUCUGGUGACCUAUUGCAUAACACGGCAACUAUAAUAAAUAACAACAUAUAUUCCUAGUGAAAAUCUUGACCAAGUCACUUCCCCAUUUAGAAUAUUCAGAGGCACUCCGCAGCCCACAGGGUAAGACCCAAACUCUAACUUGAUGCAUGAGCCCUUGAUACCAGGUGUCUGAGCACAUUUGCUGCCUGUGUCUACUAAGCCUCUGUCCCUGCACCCAGCCACCAUCAGACGCACACUCCCGCUGUGCAGUGCCCUGCCUCUGGAAUCGGUGGGUAUGGCCAUCUGGGCUCGGGUGCCAAUGUUCCCUCCGUUUCACCCACUCACCCAAGCAUCAUGACUUUCAGGAAGCCAUCCAGACUCCUCCUGGCUCUGGGUGGGGCGUACAUCCCUGGUGCUCCUGUGCGCAUCCUCAGUGCUCCUGUGCACACAUCUUCAGUGCUCCUGUGGGCAUCCCCGGUGCUCCUGUUCACAUCCCUGGUGCUCCUGUGUGCAUCCCCGGUGCUCCUGCAUGCAUCUCUAGUGCUCCUGUUCACAUCCCUGGUGCUCCUGUGCAUAUCCUCGGUGCUCCUGUGUGCAUCCCUGGUGCUGCUGUGUGCGUCCCCAGUACUCCUAUGUGCAUCCCCAGUGCUCCUGUGUGCAUCCCUGGUGCUCCUAUGUGCAUCCCCAAUACUCCUGUGUGCAUCCCCAGUGCUGCUGUGUGCAUUCUUGGUGCUCCCGUGCUCAUCCUUGGUGCUUCUCCUGUGUGCAUCCUGGUGCUCCUGAGUGAGUCACACACAUUUCCACGGCCACCCCUCUCAGCUGUAUGUUUACUCUCUGCUUCCAUGGUGACCCCUCUAGAUGGAGGAGCCCUCCACUGUGGAUCCUUGUGUGUGCAGGCUCAGGGAAGUCUGGGCUCCAGUCACCUCUGCUGAAUGAAAACACAGCUAGCUCUCACCUUCCUCAGACCAAAAUCUACAUGAGUCCAAGUUCUCCAGAGAAAUAGACCGAGAGAGAGAGAGAGACAGAGAUUGAUUUCAGAGAAUUGUUUCACUCCUUUGUGGGGCUGGGAAAUCUGAAGUCUGCAGACCAGCAGGCUGGAAAUUCAGGUAAGGUCGAUAUUGAGUCCAAAGGCAGUGGGAGGCAGACCCGCCUGUGGCUCACCGUGUUGCUCUUCCCUGUCUGUUGCGAUGAGAGGAAGCUGUGGUCACCUCCAUGGCCACCUUUUUAUCCAUCUUAGCCUUGAGGACAAUCGUCUUAGCUCUACUUACUUUACUGGGAGCUCAUCAGAGUUUUCAACAUCAGGACCUUCAAAUUGCAGUUCUUUUCCUUUCUCCCUGUGCCCUUCCUAGUCCUCCCUCUCACCGGUACCAGUCUCCAGCUCCCUGGAGGCUGCAACACCCCUCCACCCUGGCUUUGACUCUCAUUUCACUCACCUGGACCCGACUGUCAAGAGGCUCUAGGUCUCUGCUGGGCCAGAGAGGAUCACCUCUGACCUCAGCACAGCCCCCUCACCAAUGCCAGUCCCAGGUUCUCCCACUUUGCACUCUCUCUGCCUUCCCUCCCUGAAUGCUGAGUUUUACUGGGAAGUCAUAAAAAUGCAGAAAGCGACAAGACCAAGAAGGAGCUAUGUUAAACCUAGCAGAAUUUUGAGAUACCCUGCCUCUUAUUCCUUCUUGAGGCCAGACAAGGACCCGAAGGUUUGAAUAAAGCAGAAGAAUGGAUGAGAAGAUUGUGGUAGGCUUUUUUCCUUAGCGUCUUCCUGACAGCUCAUACCCUGGUUCUUGUUCUCUUUUUAUUCUUUCUUUCAGUUUUCCAGCUCUGCCCCCGUCUUUGCCACUAAAUCUGCAGUGUCUAUUGCUGGCCAUGGUCUCCCCUCUCCAGACGCCUUUCUGCCUGCAUUGAGAGAGACACUGACCCUGAUGGGAAGCUUCCACACCUGUGCAGGGGGCCCGCCCGUGGUGAGGUCUCUGCAGCAUGAUGGGGCUGGAAGCUGGCGGCUUUGUUGUGGUUAUCUAUAAAUCUUCUGUUUGGGAACAGCCAGGCCUUUUCCUGAGUGGUCAAGGUAAGGCUGUGCGGCCAUGCCCUGACCACCACCGUUCUUGGAGCUGAGCUUCAGGAGAGAGCUGGGGUCUCUGUGAGUUUUACGUAGGCAUUUAUUUAAUCUCAUUUCCAACAUUGCACCCCUCUGACCUCUACUGGGCAUGUGUCCCUGAAUGUAAGCUUUGUUAAGUGUGCUCCCAGCCGACAGACAAAAGGGGCUCCCUGUGGCCACCUGAUGCACUCAGAGUUAAAACAGAAGCAGGCGGCCAUGGCAGGAUAAGGAAGCGGCCACCCACUCUCUGUCUUCGGGAAGAUGUUGUGAAAGUGUCAUAGGACCUCCCUUUCUACAAUCAGGCCAGACCAGUUCCUGUCGUUGGUGCUGAGCCAAACCUUGGCUUAAAAUUCCCCACUGACCACCCGCAGGCCACCUGAGGCUGAUGCAGAGAGACCGGCAAGGUCUCGCUUAAAGGCCUUCCCGUCUAGAUCCUGCAAUGAACUCCCCCUAAACUCCUAUUCUGAAGGAUUUGCCUUCAUCAUCUCCCAAUCCCCGAUCCCUCCACCUGUGUCUUACACCAAAGGCUGCGUGUCCACAGUCACAGAUUUUUCUAAAAGCAAAAUCUAUUUGCUUUUAGAAAAUAAGGUUCUCCCGUUGCCUCCACAGAUAUCACCGGUCUUUUGUUAACAGCUUCCAUGUCAUUCUGGAUGCCUUAUGUCCUCAGCAGUAGCCAGGGCAAGGAGCCAUGUGGGGAGGAGAGGGGUGUGGGACAGGCAUCUAUACCUCUCAUGCAGACCUUGUCCACACUCUUCCUUUUCAGCCCGCAGGCUCCCCAUCUCCCACGGCUACUGGUGCUCCAGUUCGGGAGCCUCUCCGGGUUCUUCAGAGAGCAGGGCUUAAUUCCUAACAGCCCCCGUUUUCCCAGGUGCCUGGGCUUCAGCCUUCUCAGCUCCACACACCAUGUUUGCCACACACGCUACGUUGGCAACUUUACCUGAUACUGUAUUUUCUCAUUUUGCCUAUUAUUUUUGGUUUUGUGUAUUUACAACAUUUUAUUCCUUUAGUUUUCAUUUUAGAGAGAAUUAGGAGAGAGAAGGAAUGAACACGGUGUGAGGUCCACCAUGUUUAACCGGAAGUCCCUGUUAUCUGCUUAAUGACACCUUUCCGGAAGAAGAAUUGCUGGGUCAAAAGCCACGCGUGUUUCACACGGCGAGUCGCGUUAAACUGUCCACCGGAAAAGUGCACUGACUUUUUUUAGCGGCAAGUAAGCGGGAGGGUUGCUCUUAUUUUAUAAAUGCUAUUUUUCUUUUGUAUGAUAAAAGAGACUUAUUUUUGAGGCAAUACAUGAUGACACCAGCGUAUUUUAAUUGGUACACUUCAUUAUAGAGCAUCAGAAAAAUAAAAUCAGUGUGACAAGGCAGCAGCCCCAGAAGGCGGCCACUCAUUGCAGCCACUGCCGGCCUGUGCUUUGUGAGCUGGACGGUUCGCUUGCCUCGUUCCAGCCUCAGUCUGCCUAAAAGUGGAUAUUCCAGACAGGAAAUGUGUCUAGCCUGAUGGUGAAGACUGUCUGGAGGAUGGUUGGUUUUGAGGGGGAUGAUGAUUUUGCAGGAAGGUUUCACAAAAUUUGUCCAAGGUGGAUUUCUGCUGUUGCUAAAUUUUCCUGGUGUGCUAGGCAGGACAAUGGUGGGAAAGUAAACCUGGAGUAAGAGAAAACACUCAGACUUCCCAAAGUAGACGAGAGAAACUUUGCGUUUUGCAAGGGAGGCGAGUGGAAGACCCUGUUGCAAUUGCCUUGUGUUUCCAUUUUGCUCAGUGAAGCCGAGUUUGCCCCGGGCCAACUGUGCUUGUCAGAUGUGUGUGCUGGGGUGGGGCACCGCCAUUAUUAAUGGCAUAAGGUGGUGGGGUACAGGCAGGAGCAACUUGGAAAUAGAAGCUCUGUGUCUUCCUUCGGGCAGCUGAUUGCACUGGCUUGUCGAGAAGGUGUGGGUGUCUGGAAAGUGCCUAUGAGGACCAGUAGUCAGGGGGCCAGCAGGAGCCACGGUGAAGAGAGACUGUUGCUAGUCAGGGGGCCAGCAGGAGCCACGGUGAAGAGAGACUGUUGCUAGUCAGGGAGCCGGCAGGAGCCACGGUGAAGAGAGACUGUUGCUCGGGGUCUCCCAGGAUAGACCGAGUUGGGAACUAACUAGGUGGUCCCCAUUGCCAUGGAGACAACCUUCCCAGACAGCGAUGGGGAAUGGCGAACAGUCCACGAGGGAGACGCCGAUUCAGGCUUCAGAUGCAAUUUCCUGGGAUCCCUCGCUUACGUUUUCUGCUCUUUGCUGAGUUCCGCUUUUCUCUCUAUGUCUCCUUUGUUUUCUAUUGUGUAUUCUCUCCUUCUGGGGAGGAAGUGUGGGAAGCAGUGACGAGGUCCUGCUCUGGAGAUGAGGAGCCGGGUUGAAGGAAGAGUUGAGCACAGCGGACCUGGCAGGUGGGGGUCUCCAGAGAGGCUGUGGCUGUGCAGAGCAGCCGCCUGGGGGAGGCGUGCAGAAUUGAGUCUGAACACACGGCCUUUCUGGUGCAUCCGGCUAGAUUGGGAAUGUGUUGGUCUAUCUCCCUCAGCAGCCCUGGUCCAAGGAGUACAAUCAGAGAGAUAUAAGCCAGUCACUCCAAGUUGUCACCUUUCUCUUCACCGUGCCUGGAAGAGGAAGGUAACUGUUUUGGUUUGUUAGAAAAGAAAUACCAACCCAGCAGCUGAGAGAUUUCCCCAGUGGACAGGCCUGUGUUUGGGAAGGAAAGUUAAAGCCAGUGGAUUUCUAGUUCACUUGUUUUCUCUAACAAGAUAUCAGAAGGGCUGCAGAAUCCAGUUAAUCCAUCCAGUGGUAUUUUUGAGAUGAGGUAGCAGGUGCUCCAGAGCCAGAAAGACAGACGGUGGGUGGCUCAUCCAGAGGCUCACUGAGGGUUCUGCACCACAGAUCUGUGUCCAGCAAACAAAGGAGCUGGGGUCGGAGCCAGUGAAACACAGGACCAUUCCCCAUUCAGUCUGGCAGAUAUUUGCUGAGACCUAUAACAGAAAAGGUCUUUUACAGACGUGUAUGAAGUGGGUCCCUUGGCAACUGCUGUAAUGCCUUCAUACUCCUGGGUCAGAGACUGAAAAGAACUCAAAGAUCUCCGAGAGCAGCAUCCUGGGCUGCUGUCAUGGCAAUUCAUGUACAAACGUUUGCCGAGUGCCCACUCUGUGACAGACACAUCUCUGCAGGAGGAUCCCGGGCAUGGACACAGGGUGGGAGGGUUCCAGGAUAAGAGUGUGCAGCUGUCAGGUGGCUGCAUGGAGAAGUCCACACCUGAGCUGAGUUGGGAAGAAUGAGUCAGACUUGGCCACAGGGAACAGGGAGGUAUCUGUGUCCUGGAAUGAUCUGCAGGAGGAGAAGGAACCCACGUGUUGACUCGGAGCCGUCCUGGAGGGCUACCCAUGGAGGGACCUCAGAAAAGUCUGGUCCCAUGGUGCUCAAACAUGAAUUAUAAACCAUGAAGCCCAAUAUAAAAAACUGAGAAGAUUGGGCCACUUACAAAAAAGAGCCCUGCCCUCUGGUCUAAUCCCAACCUCUCAAGGCCCUGAGGCAGCUCCGGGAAACCCGACUAUCUACAGAGCGUGGUCACCUUUACAGAGUCCGAUCCCUGAUUCUCACAAGCGGAGAGCUCAUCGGUGCCGUGUCUCGCUCAAGCUCAGCAUAUUGGUCCGUUUUCAUGCUGUUGAUAAAGACCUACCUGAGGCCGGGUAACUUAUAAAGAAAAAAGAGGUUUAAUAGACUCAAAGUUCCACAUGGCUGGGGAGGCCUCACCAUCAUGGCAUAAGUUAAAGCCACGUCUUACUUGGUGACAGAUGAGGGAAGGAGAGCCAAGUGAGAGGAGAAAGCCCUCAGAAAACCAUCAGACCCCGUGAGACUUACCCACUUCCACGAGAACAGGACGGGGAAAACUGCUCCCAUGAUUCAGUUAUCUCCCACCAGGCCCCUCCCACAACACAUGGGAAUUAUGGAACUACGAUUCAAGAUGAGAUGUGGGUGGGGACACAGCCAAACCAUAUCA